GGCAGUGCUAGCAAAGUGGUUAAGAUGUUCAACUAUUCACCAGAAGGUUGUGAGUUCAAAUCCCAGCACUGCCA